AAGUCGUAACAAGGUUUCCGUAGGUGAACCUGCGGAAGGAUCAUUACAAAUCUUUGUGAGUCUGCAUGCCUAACGGUGUGCAGUAUUCAACAUUAGCACAGGGUCGCAAGGCCCUGAUGUUUACGCUUGUUUGUUUGACAGAGUUAGUUGAGAAAAAAUAAAAGACAACUUUAAACAAUGGAUCUCUUGGCUCUU
rnacentral:misc_RNA from 1 species